AGCGAACGCUGGCGGCAGGCCUAACACAUGCAAGUCGAACGAGCCCUUCGGGGCUAGUGGCGGACGGGUGAGUAACACGUGGGAACGUACCCUUAGGUUCGGAACAACACAGGGAAACUUGUGCUAAUGCCGAAUGUGCCCUUCGGGGGAAAGAUUUAUCGCCUUUGGAGCGGCCCGCGUCUGAUUAGCUAGUUGGUGAGGUAAAGGCUCACCAAGGCUACGAUCAGUAGCUGGUCUGAGAGGAUGAUCAGCCACACUGGGACUGAGACACGGCCCAGACUCCUACGGGAGGCAGCAGUGGGGAAUCUUGCGCAAUGGGCGAAGGCCUGACGCAGCCAUGCCGCGUGAAUGAUGAAGGUCUUAGGAUUGUAAAAUUCUUUCACCGGGGAAGAUAAUGACGGUACCCGGAGAAGAAGCCCCGGCUAACUUCGUGCCAGCCGCCGCUGUAAAAC
rnacentral:rRNA from 1 species